rnacentral:rRNA from 1 species
AGGGCACUUGAAGGGUACGAAGAAACACUGACCAAGUCGCCUAACGAUCCUACCGCUCUCGAGGGUGCAGCAGUAUCGUUGGUUGAACUAGGUGAAUAUCAGAAGGCCUCAGAUCUACUUGAGAAGCUAGUUAAGGUAAUCCCUGACAAAGCAGAAGCAUACCGCUUGUUAGGUGAAGUAAAGUUUGAGCUCAAGGAUUAUGAUGGGAGUUCUUCAUCAUACAGGAACUCUCUAUCUUCAUCUGACAGCAUUGAUUUUGACGUUCUCCGUGCUCUGACAAAUUCAUUAGUUGCUGCUAAGAAGCCCGAUCAGGCAGUCGAAGUAAUUCUAUCUUGCCGUCGCAAGUUGAGUGAAAAGCGUCAAACCAGGCAACCUGAUUUGGAGGCUGCAAAUGAGAAUGGUGCUCAGGAGUCUCGAGAUAUCGAUCCUAUCCAAGUUGACCUGCUUCUCGGAAAGGCCUAUUCUGAUUGGGGCCAUAUCAGUGAUGCUGUUACUGUUUAUGAUAACUUAAUCACUGAACAUCCUGAAGACUUCCGUGGUUAUUUGGCGAAGGGAGCUAUACUGAAGCAAAAUGGUAAGGCAGGUGAUGCAGAAAGAAUGUUUAUUCAGGCCAAAUUCUUCGCCCCAGAGGCAGCAAAGGCACUUGUUGAUAUUUAUGCACAGAGAUAG